rnacentral:rRNA from 1 species
CCUACGGGAGGCAGCAGUGAGGAAUAUUGGUCAAUGGGCGCGAGCCUGAACCAGCCAAGUAGCGUGAAGGAUGACUGCCCUACGGGUUGUAAACUUCUUUUAUAAAGGAAUAAAGUGAGGCACGUGUGCCUUUUUGUAUGUACUUUAUGAAUAAGGAUCGGCUAACUCCGUGCCAGCAGCCGCGGUAAUACGGAGGAUCCGAGCGUUAUCCGGAUUUAGUGGGUUGAAAGGGAGCGUAGAUGGGUUGUUAAGUCAGUUGUGAAAGUUUGCGGCUCAACCGUAAAAUUGCAAUUGAUACUGGCAGCCUUGAGGACUGUUGAGGUCGGCGGAAUUCGUGGUGGAGCGGUGAAAUGUUUAGAGAUGCCGAAGAACUCCGAUUGCGAAGGCAGCCUACUAAACUGCCACUGACAUUGAUGCUCGAAAGUGUGGGUAUCAAACAGGAUUAGAUACCCUGGUAGUC